UACGUAGGCAGCAAGCGUUGUUCGGAAUUACUGGGCGUAAAGAGUGUGUAGGCGGUGUUCCAAGUCUGGUGGGAAAUCUCCCGGCUUAACUGGGAGGGUGCAUUAGAAACUGGAAUGCUAGAGGAUGGGAGAGGUAAGCGGAAUUCCUGGUGUAGCGGUGAAAUGCGCAGAUAUCAGGAGGAACACCGGUGGCGAAGGCGGGUCUCUGGGCCGAUACUGACGCUGAGGAGCGAAAGCGUGGGGAGCGAACAGG
rnacentral:rRNA from 1 species